CCCACUCCGGGAUCAGGCCACGUGGUGAGGAGGAAACAUGGGCUGAGUGUCUACAAUGCCCGGGCCUUGUGCCAAGUGCUGAUGUCUGUGGCCACAUCUGUCCUCAUUGUAACUCACCAUCAGAGUCUUAGUUGCAGCCAUGGGACAAUUAGUAUGCUGUAGACACUUUCAGAUAUAAUGUCUCCUAAGCCCACCCAGCAGGUAUUCAGCUUAUUUUGUGGGAGAGGUGGGGGGAUUGGUCAAGCCAGGAGACACCUCUUCCCCGAAGAGAAGGCCCUGGUGCUGACUUCUCUGCUGAGGAAGCAGGAGCCUGGGCCUGGGAAAGGGGGUGCUGUGGGCUUGCCUCUCAGUUUCUGACUUGGGACCCCCUCUGCCAUGGAAAGUUCAGGAGGAUGGGGCAGAGGUGUCUCAUCUCCCUUCCCCCCAGCAAGAGAAGCUAUAACUUUCUUCCUGGAUGUGCUAAAGGGAAGUGGAUCAGGCAGGAAAGCAGUUUAAAAUCCCAGGCUGCCAGCCAGUUUUAAAAGUUGUUUAGCUUUGGCCAGGGUGGGGCAGGAAUUCCAGCCUACAGGAGUUCCGAGCAACCACGUGCUGCCAGCUCACAUGGUUAGAGAGCUGCAUGAGGCUGGCAUAAGCACAGAGAGCCGGUCGGGGGAACAGUAGUGUCUGGAGGGAAGGGGGAAGAAUCUUCAUCCACUUCAUUGUCUGAAUUGUUCACCCGGUAACUUUUGCCAUGACAAUUUUACAAAUUAAGGUUUUCUUUUAAAAUUGAGGAAUAAUUGACAUUUCAUCAAGGGCACAGAUCUUCAGCAUGGAGCACAGACCCAAGGGACCACCACAAAGCUUAAGAUGUAGGACAUCUCCAUCAAUUCAGGAGGCUCCCUCCCAGUUACCCCCACUCCAGAGGGUCUCAUUUUGUUGCUGAGGCUGGAGUGCAGUGGCACAAAUGUGGCUCGCUGCAGGCUUGAUGUUCUGGGCUCAAGUGAUCCUCCCAACUUGGCUUCCCGAGUAGCUGGGACCACAGGCCAUGAUACUGCUGGUGGUGCAGAACGAAGUUUAGACAAGGAGGUGCAUGGCCGAGAGCAACCUGGAAACAAUCAGAGAGGCCAGUUGCGUAAUGAUGGAGAAGCCGCUGUUUUGCAGCCACGAAAAUCAUGCCUGGAGAGAGAAUGUUCCGGGAUGUGAAAUUAUUCACAAUCUAUUAUUCAAAGAAGACAGUUGAUUAUGGGACAGAAGGGAUGCUAUGGCCUUCCAGAGCUCCAGGAGAAGAGGGCUGAGCCAGCCCUUGGCAUGACUAUGAGAGGACAGGGGGAGACAGGGAAACACAAGGGGAGUAGAAGGCUUCAGUAGAAGAUUUCAGUAGAGGCUGAAAUCUACUGAUAUGUACACCUCCAAGGACACAUGUGUCACACCAGAAUAGUUGCUGAAUCCCACUGGGCCUCUAUUUCCUCAUGUGUAAAAUGGGAAUAAUAAAGCUCCUACUUCACAGGGCUGUGGAUU